UCCCAACACUCCCAGCCCAACACAACCUGCACCCCACUCUGUCCCUAGAUCUGUGGGCCCCCAGUGCCCUUUUGUCCUUUCUCCAACAUGCAUCCCUAUCCCUACCUUACUCCCCCCCUCCCUCCCUCCAUCCAUGGGGCCCCUCAGCCCUUCUCUCUCCUUCCUCCACAACACAAACCCUUCAUAGGACAUGGGCAGGGAUGCUAGGUGUACAUCCCCACAGGCCAGGUCUCGGGAGCCAUGGAGAAGUAGGAGUGGACGAAAAACAUGCGGAGUAGUGGAUGUUUGCAGAGGAAUCGUCCAGGAGCUCUAGCCAGAUAAGAAUAUGGCAGAAAUGGACUUGAGCAGCCUGGACAUCCUUCUAAGGAUACAUAAACAGUCCUCAUGUUUCUGCCUUCUGCAUCCCUGGCUUACCAAGGGAAAAGAAAUCAAACAUCAGAGUUUACUCUCCUCAUCGGAUGGAAAGCGAGCGAGAGCAGUGAGCCCGCGAGCAUUGUUGAUGCAAGUGAAGAGCCGUCCGGUUGGCAGUUGCUACUGUCAGUGAGAUACAUGUCUGGUUUCGAGAGGGCUCUGCUCAUGACCCGCCUGGCUCCAGAUAGGGCUGCCCCAUUGGCUGGGGCUGGGUUUGUGAGAAAUGCUUCCUGACCAGCUGUGCUUACGAGAGAGACAAGUUCCCCAUUUUCAGGGGCUGCUCAGUUCUCUGGCCAGGAGCAGUGUGUCCUCCACAGCAGAAGGUUGCAUCUAGGAGAUUGACUUCAGCUGUGUUUCCAGAGGAAUCUUCCAGGAGCCCUAGACCAAGGAGAAAGUGGCAGAAGUGGACAUGAACAGACUAGACAGCCUUCUAAGGACACAUGAACAGUUCUCAGCUUUCUGACUCCCGCAUAACUGGCUGUGAGUAAGCGGUCAGUGGUCUGAAUUCCUCAUCUGCGCUCACUGUAGUACUCUUCACAGGCCUUGUGCUUCCUCGUUGGGUGCAGGACUCUGUGAGAUUACGUCUGGGGAGGGGCCAGAGUCUGCUGUGCAGAGUGAUUAUUUUGGGUGCUGUUGCAAGGGGUGCUUUUUGAUUGUAAUGCUAAAGGUGUGAUGGGGAGGGCGGAGCUCGGUCGUGUGGGUGAGACAAAAAGAGGAGCCUAUGAGACGUUGCCUACUGAGAUGGUAACAUGCUUGUUUUUUCCCCGCUUGUGCCGGGUUUAGUACCAAGGAGAAAGAAGUCAAGUGUCACAGUCUACUGCCCUCGUGCAAUGUAAAGUGAGCGAGAGCAGCGAGCCUGUGAGCACUGUUGAUGCCAGGCAAGAUCUGAGCAGAUGCCACUCUCAAUGAGAUAAGUGUCUGUCAUAACUCU